rnacentral:rRNA from 1 species
GACGAACGCUGGCGGCGUGCUUAACACAUGCAAGUCGAACGGAAAGGCCCUGCUUUUGUGGGGUGCUCGAGUGGCGAACGGGUGAGUAACACGUGAGUAACCUGCCCUUGACUUUGGGAUAACUUCAGGAAACUGGGGCUAAUACCGGAUAGGAGCUCCUGCUGCAUGGUGGGGGUUGGAAAGUUUCGGCGGUUGGGGAUGGACUCGCGGCUUAUCAGCUUGUUGGUGGGGUAGUGGCUUACCAAGGCUUUGACGGGUAGCCGGCCUGAGAGGGUGACCGGCCACAUUGGGACUGAGAUACGGCCCAGACUCCUACGGGAGGCAGCAGUGGGGAAUAUUGCACAAUGGGCGGAAGCGUGAUGCAGCAACGCCGCGUGCGGGAGGACGGCCUUCGGGUGGUAAACCGCUUUCGCCUGUGACGAAGCGUGAGUGACGGUAAUGGGUAAAGAAGCACCGGCUAACUACGU